UCUCAGAAAAAUGGGCAGAAGUCAAAGAAGCAAGAAGAGGCCAUCUCUUUGGAGCCGCAUCUUUGGUUUCAUUCGACGAACCUUCACAUCCACGCUCUCCAAAUCAGAGGAAGAUUUGAUGAUAUCCUACCGGGAAAGAGUAGCGCUUGCUCGCGCUACCGAACGGAACGCCAGACUCAUUCCGAGAAGAG